rnacentral:rRNA from 1 species
UACGUAGGGUGCAAGCGUUAAUCGGAAUUACUGGGCGUAAAGCGUGCGCAGGCGGUUUUGUAAGUCUGUCGUGAAAGCCCCGGGCUUAACCUGGGAAUUGCGAUGGAGACUGCAAGGCUUGAAUCUGGCAGAGGGGGGUAGAAUUCCACGUGUAGCAGUGAAAUGCGUAGAGAUGUGGAGGAACACCGAUGGCGAAGGCAGCCCCCUGGGUCAAGAUUGACGCUCGAUGCACGAAAGCGUGGGGGAGCAAACAGG